AUGUAAGUUUUUGCAUGAGAUUUUAUUUAUUUAAAAAGUAAUUAAUUUAAAUUGUAACCACAGUAAAUAAAUUUAUAAAUCAAGGAAACUUGGAAGUAGUAAUUUUUUUAAGUAUUGGCUAAAUUUGUGCCAGCAGCCGCGGUUAUACAAAUAAUACAAAUAAAAUUUGUUCAGUAUAAAGUUAAAUUUGAUUUAUAUUAAAAUAAAAAUAAAUUUAUUAGGUGAAAUUUUAAAUUUAUAAAAUUUUAAUUUUUUUUUUAUUAAGGCUUGGAAAUUUUAAUAAAAAACUAGGAUUAGAUACCCUAUUAUUUGAAAUGUAAAUUUUUACUUAGGUAGUAGUAGUUAUGUUCUUGAAACUUAAAAAAUUUGGCGGUAUUUUAGUCUAUUCAGAGGAACCUGUCCUGUAAUCGAUAAUCCACGUUGAACCUUACUUGAAUUUGUUUAGUUUAUAUACCGUCGUUAUUAGAAUAUUUUAUUAGAAUAAUAAUUUUCAAUAAUUUUUAUAAAAAUUUAUAUCAGAUCAAGGUGUAGCUUAUGUUUAAGUAGAGAUGGGUUACAAUAAAAUUAUUUAAAUGAAUUUAAUUUUGAAAAUUUUUUAAUGAAAUUGGAUUUGAUAGUAAAAUUUAAUAGAUUAUAAAUUUGAUUUUAGCUCUAAGAUAUGUACACAUCGCCCGUCGCUCUUAUUAUUAAGGUAAGAUAAGUCGUAACAUAGUAGAUGUA
rnacentral:rRNA from 1 species